AGCUCCAAUAGCGUAUAUUAAAGUUGCUGCAGUUAAAAAGCUCGUAGUUGGAUCUCGGGCGUGAGCUGAGGGUCUUCCAAUCGGUUGCUACUCUCAGUCUCAGCCUAACUGCCGAUUUUCUAUGGAUGCGCUUCGCUGUGUGUCCAUAGUAGUCGGAACGUUUACUUUGAAAAAAUUAGAGUGCUCAAAGCAGGCUAUUGCCUGAAUACUGUUGCAUGGAAUAAUGAAAUAGGAUCUCGGUUCUAUUUUGUUGGUUUCCGGAAUUGAGAUAAUGAUUAACAGAGAUUGACGGGGGCAUUCGUAUUGCAUGGGGAGAGGUGAAAUUCUUGGAUCCAUGCAAGACGAACUACUGCGAAAGCAUUUGCCAAGAAUGUUCUCAUUAAUCAAGAACGAAAGUAGG
rnacentral:rRNA from 1 species